GCCCUUCCGAAUUCGUCGACAACAGAGUUUGAUCCUGGCUCAGAAUGAACGCUGGCGGCGUGCUUAACACAUGCAAGUCUUACGGGAAAGCUCCUUCGGGAACCGGUACAGUGGCGGACGGGUGAGUAAUGCAUAGGAACGUGCCCUUAGAUGGGGAAUAACCAGGGGAAACCUUGGCUAAUACCGCAUAUAUCCAUGGAUGAAAGGUGGCUUCGGCUACCGUCUAAGGAUCGGCCUAUGUCGCAUUAGCUAGUAGGUGAGGUAAUGGCUCACCUAGGCGACGAUGCGUAGCUGGUCUGAGAGGAUGAUCAGCCACACUGGGACUGAGAUACGGCCCAGACUCCUACGGGAGGCAGCAGUGGGGAAUUUUGCACAAUGGGGGAAACCCUGAUGCAGCAACGCCGCGUGAGUGAAGAAGGCCUUGCGGUCGUAAAGCUC
rnacentral:rRNA from 1 species